GACGAACGCUGGCGGCGUGCUUAAUACAUGCCAGUCGAACGGAAAGGCCCUGCUUUUGUUGGGUGCUCGAGUGGCGAACGGGUGAGUAACACGUGAGUAACCUGCCCUUGACUUUGUGAUAACUUCAGGAAACUGCGGCUAAUACCGGAUAGGAGCUCCUGCUGCAUGUGGGGGGUUGGAAAGUUUCGGCGGUUGGGGAUGGACUCGCGGCUUAUCAGCUUGUUGGUGGGGUAGUGGCUUACCAAGGCUUUGACGGGUAGCCGGCCUGAGAGGGUGACCGGCCACAUGGGGACUGAGAUACGGACCAGACUGCUACGGGAGGCAGCAGUGGGGAAUAUUGCACAAUGGGCGGAAGCCUGAUGCAGCAGCGCCGCGUGCGGGAUGACGGCCUUCGGGUUGUAAACAGCUUUCGACUGUGACGAAGCGUGAGUGACGGUAAUGGGUCAGGAAGCACCGGCUAACUACGUG
rnacentral:rRNA from 1 species